rnacentral:rRNA from 1 species
GAUGAACGCUAGCGGCAGGCAUAAUACAUGCAAGUUGAACGGGAUAGAUUGAGUUUACUUGAUCUUGAGAGUGGCGCACGGGUGCGUAACACGUAUGCAACUUACCUUGAACUGGGAGAUAGCCCGUGGAAACAUGGAUUAAUAUCACAUAGUAUAAUGAACAAGCAUUUGUUUAUUAUUAAAGCUCCGGCGGUUCAAGAUGGGCAUGCGCGUCAUUAGCUAGUUGGUAAGGUAAUGGCUUACCAAGGCUACGAUGACUAGGGGGUCUGAGAGGAUGUCCCCCCACACUGGUACUGAGACACGGACCAGACUCCUACGGGAGGCAGCAGUAGGGAAUACUGGGCAAUGGACGCAGGUCUGACCCAGCCAUGCCGCGUGCAGGAAGACGGCCCUCUGGGUCGUAAACUGCUUUUAUUAGGGAAGAAACCCUUCUACGUGUAGGAGGCUGACGGUACCUAAGGAAUAAGGAUCGGCUAACUCCGUGCCAGCCGCCGCGGUAACAC